GUUCUUUCUCUUUACCAUGACGACUGCUCUGCUUACUGCGCUGAAGCUGCUGUCUCAGUUUGGCAAUCUGCUGGAAAGAAGUUCAGCUCAGAGGAUGGCAACUUUGCAAAACGGAUCACUGCGAUCAAAUGGCAGAGAUUGCCUACACACUGAAGGUUUCCCUACCACUGACAGUUAGAGCCCAUGCGAUGGAGAAAAGGUGCUUGCUGCAAAACUUGAUACAAAACCACUAGAUGAUGAAGAAUGGUCUCUCAGUAGAAGUGAGAGUGUUAUCCUAGAAACACAGAUGUUAUUCUUG